rnacentral:rRNA from 1 species
UACGUAGGUGGCAAGCGUUGUCCGGAUUUAUUGGGUUUAAAGGGUGCGUAGGCGGUCUUAUAAGUCAGUGCUGAAAUAUCCCGGCUUAACCGGGAGGGUGGCAUUGAUACUGUAGGACUUGAGUAAAGUUGAGGUUGGCGGAAUUGACGGUGUAGCGGUGAAAUGCUUAGAUAUCGUCAAGAACACCGAUAGUGUAGACAGCUAACUAAGCUUCAACUGACGCUGAGGCACGAAAGUGUGGGGAUCAAACAGG